rnacentral:rRNA from 1 species
UACGUAGGGUCCGAGCGUUGUCCGGAAUUAUUGGGCGUAAAGAGCUCGUAGGCGGUUUGUCGCGUCUGCUGUGAAAACUGGAGGCUCAACCUCCAGCCUGCAGUGGGUACGGGCAAACUAGAGUGCGGUAGGGGAGAUUGGAAUUCCUGGUGUAGCGGUGGAAUGCGCAGAUAUCAGGAGGAACACCGAUGGCGAAGGCAGAUCUCUGGGCCGUAACUGACGCUGAGGAGCGAAAGCAUGGGGAGCGAACAGG